UGGGAACCAAGUGGUCAAACGGAAGUAAAGAACGCGUACGUCCGAGACAUCAAUCAGAGGGGCGCGCCAAACUAAAACACCAUCACACCACACAAGGAUUGAGAUGAUUUGAAAUGUAUUCCAAGCCCAGGUGAAUAUUUUGGAUCAUGAAUUACAGAAGGCACUGGUUGCAGCUCUGAAGCUCCGCCCACAAUAACAUUCACCCUCUCACUCAGCGUGAAAGCAGGCGAAUAUAACACACUUCAUGCACGGCCUCCAUUCUGAAUAAGGCACAUCACGUGUUUUGAUUAAAACGUCCUGUUCCUGCGUGACCUCUUUGAGGUUUAUAGUUCAGAACUUUUUGCAGUAAAACAUUGUUGUUUUAAGAAUAAAAUCUUACAAAACAUUUUAUAGAGAAACUCAGAUUACAUCCCUGAGUAAACACACACAUAUACACACACACACACACACACACACACACACACACACACACACACACACACACACACACACACA